rnacentral:tRNA from 1 species
UACCCCAUAGCCAAACGGUAAGGCAACGGAUUCUGGUUCCGUGAUGUUCUGGUUCGAAUCCAGAUGGGGUAAUCA